UGGACAUCCCAUCCUGACUACAAAAAAGUAGUUGAAAGAGUUUGGAUAAAAAAAAAACUCAUGCCACCCUAAUGGUCUUUGAAAAUUAACCUACAAAUUGGAUUAAGUCUAAUUUAAGUGACAUGUUCUACAAAGAAGGAAAAUAAUUAACAGGCUUGGGGAAUACAAUUUUCACAUAGAUACACCACUAGUAUGUACCUCUUUUUUUUUAAUCAAAGUGGGUCUUAGGGACCAUUUAUUAGAAACUAAAAAGGAAAAACCAGAUCAUAACAUGAUCUUGUCCGAAAACAAAAUACAGAAAUGAACAACCAAAGAAAGGAAACAAAGUUGGUCGUCUUCAAGCUUGAGCUUCCAUGGAGGAUGAAGACGAGGUGCUACCUUGGAGUAAAAUCGAGUCAUCACCUGCUGCAGUCAACUGUGUUCCAUCCAUUUCCAUCCCACUGAAUUCACUCAGCUUGAACAACUUUGGUAAGAAUCGAUCUAAUCCCUAACUCUCUUUUGAUGUUGUAAACGAACCUUGAGCUCCAUUUCUAUGUUUUACCCUUUCCUGCAAAUUGAGUCAGAAACCUUAACUAAUACCAAUGCAUAGGCCAGGUAAUUCUUAUUAACUUUCCCAGAGAUCAUUCCUUAAAGUACACUGCUUUACUGACUUUUAGAUUUAUAUGUGCUUCACCUGAAAUACUCUUGUUGCUUGUCGUAUUGUGCAUUAGUAUCAUUAUCACUGUAGACAUAUUUUUUUGUUUUGCAUUUUUAUGAUUCUCAAGUUAUCAAAACCUUGGAUGACUCCAAUCUGCUCCAUGGUCGGAGAAAUCUAUCUCUACGAUGAAGGUAGCAGUGAAAAGAGGAUAGAAGAUAGUUUAAAUACCUCUUAUAUAUAUUCAUAGAUUUAAAUGGAUCAGAAUUUUGACAAAUUUCACUGAAGACACUCAAAACACUAACAAGUGCCAUGAAAUUAGAUCCUUUGAAGACUUCUUCAACUCGGAUUAAUCUGAUCUAAACCACAAAAUGAAGUUAAAUGAACAUUGUUUUCUCCUCUUUCAUAUUUGUGCACUGUUAUACUUCAAUUUAAUUCAUCCAUGACCUUCUCUGCAGGUUGAGCCCCAAAGAUUUGGAUACCACUGCAUAAGGAGGCCAUAUCUGAGUUCCAACUCCGCAUAAAUAGUAUAUUGCAAUUACAUCCACUUAUGCAAGUAUGCAGGACCUACCAUCGCCUUUUGAUAUUUUUUUGUCAUCCAUGUCUUGUUGUUCUUGUUUGUCUCAAUUAUGUUUGUGUAUUGAAACCCAACUCUUGGAAAUCUGAAUAGAUGAUAGUUGUUGUACCUGUAAAAAGAAAAAACUGGUUAGCUAAAUAAUCUACAGAAGUGUUGCUUCCCUAAGGAUGCGCUCCACUAUUGAAUCAACAUUAAUUUUCAAACCAUUGAUCCUUUUCACCUCCACCCGACUACUCCAAGGAACCUCCUAAAUUCCAUUCAAAAAUUUUUGGAGCAUUAAUGAGUUAGCCUCAAAUAUUAC
rnacentral:lncRNA from 1 species